rnacentral:rRNA from 1 species
AUUGAACGCUGGCGGCAGGCCUAACACAUGCAAGUCGAGCGGAUGAAGGGAGCUUGCUCCUGGAUUCAGCGGCGGACGGGUGAGUAAUGCCUAGGAAUCUGCCUGGUAGUGGGGGAUAACGUCCGGAAACGGGCGCUAAUACCGCAUACGUCCUGAGGGAGAAAGUGGGGGAUCUUCGGACCUCACGCUAUCAGAUGAGCCUAGGUCGGAUUAGCUAGUUGGUGGGGUAAAGGCCUACCAAGGCGACGAUCCGUAACUGGUCUGAGAGGAUGAUCAGUCACACUGGAACUGAGACACGGUCCAGACUCCUACGGGAGGCAGCAGUGGGGAAUCUUGGGCAAUGGGCGAAAGCCUGAUCCAGCCAUGCCGCGUGUGUGAAGAAGGUCUUCGGAUUGUAAAGCACUUUAAGUUGGGAGGAAGGGCAGUAAGUUAAUACCUUGCUGUUUUGACGGUACCAACAGAAUAAGCACCGGCUAACUUCGUG